CCAAUAACUUAUUCCCUUGUUCUCGACUCAAAUUCCAGACUCCAGAUGCUAAAUGAGAUCUCAAAGGUCUGCAGAUUUUCCUCCUCUUACAAACAGAGAAAUUUCCACCCGCCUUAACAGUUUUAUCGUCUCUAACUUCUUCACUCACAUCCGCGGCACCAUCUUGUGACUCAGAUGCAUCAUAUACUGUAUCGUAAUAAAGGUCGUCGAAUAAUGACCAAGAGCAAUCGCAGUUUUCAGGAGUAGCAUCAGAAAUGCUGGAAGAGGAUGGAGGCGGUGGCAGUGUGGUUUUCAAUUGAAAGGACGCCAGCUUAUGGUAAUUAUCAUCGGGGCCGAGAUCACGUUCGAGGCCAAAAUCAGAG
rnacentral:misc_RNA from 1 species